rnacentral:rRNA from 1 species
GAUGAACGCUAGCUACAGGCUUAACACAUGCAAGUCGCGGGCAGCAUUUCCUUAGCUUGCUAAGGAAGAUGGCGACCGGCGCACGGGUGAGUAACGCGUAUCCAACCUUCCCAUGUCCACGGGAUAGCCCGUCGAAAGGCGGAUUAAUACCGUAUGAGGUCACAUGCGGGCAUCUAAGUGUGACGAAAGGUUUAGCGGACAUGGAUGGGGAUGNGUCCGAUUAGCUUGUUGGCGGGGUAACGGCCCACCAAGGCGACGAUCGGUAGGGGUUCUGAGAGGAAGGUCCCCCACAUUGGAACUGAGACACGGUCCAAACUCCUACGGGAGGCAGCAGUGAGGAAUAUUGGUCAAUGGGCGAGAGCCUGAACCAGCCAAGUAGCGUGCAGGAUGACGGCCCUAUGGGUUGUAAACUGCUUUUAUAAGGGAAUAAAGUGGGUCUCGUGAGACUUUUUGCAUGUACCUUAUGAAUAAGGACCGGCUAAUUCCGUG